rnacentral:lncRNA from 1 species
GCCGCGUCACGUGACGCGCCCUGCCAACAGGUCGCCCGAGGCAGGGCCCCGCGUGUCGUAGGGGGGCGGGGGGGAGGGGCGGCCCGCUGCGCCCCUCUUUCACCCCGGAGGCGAGGACGCCCGCCCUCGUGUCAGAGGCUGACGCCGUGGGCUUGACAAAGAGUUUCCUACUGUAUGCUGCCUACUACACUUAGAAAUACCAUUUUGGUGUACAUCCUAAUGGUCAUGUUACGAGCUCUGCUACAUGUUCCCACGAACACAGUGCCACUCUACGUAUCUCCCCACUACUGAUGAAUGGGCUGAGACAUGCUGAAACCAGGAACGACAGUCCUUUUAUGAGAUGAAUAAGACUUCAGAGAAUUAUGAAGUUGAAACCACAACGUGGAAGACACCUGGGGUUGACAAACGAGUCAUUGGAGACGCGCUUCCUAGGAGAGCUGUGUGACCAGGAACACCUAGAGUAGUGUAUUUGCUUUGUUAAAGAGUGACUUGUAUGAGAGAGAAAUCUAUUUUCCAUAAAAAUAAAAAAAGAAUGACUGAAA